CCUUACCUGGUCUUGACAUCCACAGAACUUUCCAGAGAUGGAUUGGUGCCUUCGGGAACUGUGAGACAGGUGCUGCAUGGCUGUCGUCAGCUCGUGUUGUGAAAUGUUGGGUUAAGUCCCGCAACGAGCGCAACCCUUAUCCUUUGUUGCCAGCGGUUCGGCCGGGAACUCAAAGGAGACUGCCAGUGAUAAACUGGAGGAAGGUGGGGAUGACGUCAAGUCAUCAUGGCCCUUACGACCAGGGCUACACACGUGCUACAAUGGCAUAUACAAAGAGAAGCGACCUCGCGAGAGCAAGCGGACCUCAUAAAGUAUGUCGUAGUCCGGAUUGGAGUCUGCAACUCGACUCCAUGAAGUCGGAAUCGCUAGUAAUCGUAGAUCAGAAUGCUACGGUGAAUACGUUCCCGGGCCUUGUACACACCGCCCGUCACACCAUGGGAGUGGGUUGCAAAAGAAGUAGGUAGCUUAACCUUCGGGAGGGCGCUUACCACUUUGUGAUUCAUGACUGGGGUGAAGUCGUAACAAGGUAACCGUAGGGGAACCUGCGGUUGGAUCACCUCCUU
rnacentral:rRNA from 1 species